AUCCUCCAGGUUCCUUACCUCUCAGAUCUAAUUAUUAGUCUGAGUGGUUACAAAAGGAGGAAAAGUAAAACUGAAGAGAACUUGGAGUCUUUAAUGACAUAUGAACUCAUUUCAAACAUUA
rnacentral:snoRNA from 1 species